rnacentral:lncRNA from 1 species
CAGGUAUACCUUGAAGAAUGAAAAAUGCAAAGAAAACACUCCAAGACUCCCUAAGCAUCUGCGGUGGGGUGGGCUCACCAGCCCGGAGGACAGGAAGCAGGGAGGGGGCUGAGCAGGGCAGUGGGAGGGACCAGGGCCAAGCGGCUGCUCUCUGGGGUCGCCCUGUUCUCUGCCGUUGGGUCUCCCCCGCCCACGAAUUUCACCCAAGUGUGCCAGGACCUGCACCUCGCCACACGCUGCAGGGGCCACGGCAACUGUGUAAAGUCUUGAACUGA